UACGUAGGGUGCAAGCGUUAAUCGGAAUUACUGGGCGUAAAGCGUGCGCAGGCGGUUCGCUAAGACCGAUGUGAAAUCCCCGGGCUUAACCUGGGAACUGCAUUGGUGACUGGCGGGCUAGAGUAUGGCAGAGGGGGGGUGGAAUUCCACGGUGUAGCAGUGAAAUGCGUAGAGAUGUGGAGGAACACCGAUGGCGAAGGCAGCCCCCCUGGGUCAACACUGACGCUCAGGCACGAAAGCGUGGGGAGCAAACAGG
rnacentral:rRNA from 1 species